GUGCCAGCGCCGCGGUAAUACAUAGGGGGCGAGCGUUGUCCGGAAUCAUUGGGCGUAAAGGGCGCGUAGGCGGGAAUACAAGUCUGUUUUUAAAGUUCAGGGCUCAACCCUGUGAUGGAAUGGAAACUGUAUUUCUUGAGGGCAGGAGAGGAAAGUGGAAUUCCUAGUGUAGCGGUGAAAUGCGUAGAUAUUAGGAGGAACACCAGUGGCGAAGGCGGCUUUCUGGACUGCAACUGACGCUGAGGCGCGAAAGCUGGGGGAGCGAACAGGAUUAGAAACCCGGGUAGUCC
rnacentral:rRNA from 1 species